UACCAGCACCCCGAGCGUUCGGGAGGAUUAUUGGGCCUAAAGCAUCCGUAGCCGGUCCUACAAGUCUUCCGUUAAAUCCACCUGCUUAACAGAUGGGCUGCGGAAGAUACUAUAGGGCUAGGAGGCGGGAGAGGCAAGCGGUACUCAGUGGGUAGGGGUAAAAUCCUCUGAUCCAUUGAAGACCACCAGUGGCGAAGGCGGCUUGCCAGAACGCGCUCGACGGUGAGGGAUGAAAGCUGGGGGAGCAAACCGG
rnacentral:rRNA from 1 species